rnacentral:rRNA from 1 species
UUAGAGUUUGAUCCUGGCUCAGAACGAACGCUGGCGGCAGGCUUAACACAUGCAAGUCGAACGCACCGCAAGGUGAGUGGCAGACGGGUGAGUAACACGUGGGAACGUACCCUUUGGUUCGGAAUAACUCAGGGAAACUUGAGCUAAUACCGGAUACGCCCUUAUGGGGAAAGGUUUACUGCCGAAGGAUCGGCCCGCGUCCGAUUAGCUAGUUGGUGAGGUAAUGGCUCACCAAGGCUUCGAUCGGUAGCUGGUCUGAGAGGAUGACCAGCCACAUUGGGACUGAGACACGGCCCAAACUCCUACGGGAGGCAGCAGUGGGGAAUAUUGGACAAUGGGCGCAAGCCUGAUCCAGCCAUGCCGCGUGAGUGAUGAAGGCCUUAGGGUUGUAAAGCUCUUUUACCUGGGAAGAUCAUGACGGUACCAGGAGAAUAAGCCCCGGCUAACUUCGUGCCAGCAGCCGCGGUAAUACGAAGGGGGCUAGCGUUGUUCGGAUUUACUGGGCGUAAAGGGCGCGUAGGCGGGCGAAUAAGUCAGGGGUGAAAUCCCAAGGCUCAACCUUGGAACUGCCUUUGAUACUGUUUGUCUUGAGUUCGAGAGAGGUAAGUGGAACUGCGAGUGUAGAGGUGAAAUUCGUAGAUAUUCGCAAGAACACCCAGUGGCGAAGGCGGCUUACUGGCUCGAAACUGACGCUGAGGCGCGAAAGCGUGGGGAGCAAACAGGAUUAGAUACCCUGGUAGUCCACGCCUUAAACGAUGAAUGCUAGCCGUUGGCCAGCUUGCUGGGCAGUGGCGCCGUUAACACUUUAAGCAUUCCGCCUGGGGAGUACGGUCGCAAGAUUAAAACUCAA